rnacentral:rRNA from 1 species
GCAUAUCAAUAAGCGGAGGAAAAGAAACCAACAGGGAUUGCCCUAGUAACGGCGAGUGAAGCGGCAACAGCUCAAAUUUGAAAUCUGGCGUCUUUGGCGUCCGAGUUGUAAUUUGCAGAGGGCGCUUUGGCAUUGGCAGCGGUCCAAGUUCCUUGGAACAGGACGUCACAGAGGGUGAGAAUCCCGUACGUGGUCGCUAGCCUUUACCGUGUAAAGCCCCUUCGACGAGUCGAGUUGUUUGGGAAUGCAGCUCUAAAUGGGAGGUAAAUUUCUUCUAAAGCUAAAUACUGGCCAGAGACCGAUAGCGCACAAGUAGAGUGAUCGAAAGAUGAAAAGCACUUUGGAAAGAGAGUUAAAAAGCACGUGAAAUUGUUGAAAGGGAAGCGCUUGCAGCCAGACUUGCCUGUAGUUGCUCAUCUAGGUUUCUACCUAGUGCACUCUUCUAUAGGCAGGCCAGCAUCAGUUUGGGCGGUUGGAUAAAGGUCUCUGUCAUGUACCUCUCUUCGGGGAGAACUUAUAGGGGAGACGACAUGCAACCAGCCUGGACUGAGGUCCGCGCAUCUGCUAGGAUG